rnacentral:rRNA from 1 species
UACGUAGGGUCCGAGCGUUGUCCGGAAUUAUUGGGCGUAAAGAGCUCGUAGGCGGUUUGUCGCGUCUGCUGUGAAAUCCCGAGGCUCAACCUCGGGUCUGCAGUGGGUACGGGCAGACUGGAGUGCGGUAGGGGAGAAUGGAAUUCCUGGUGUAGCGGUGAAAUGCGCAGAUAUCAGGAGGAACACCGGUGGCGAAGGCGGGUCUCUGGGCCGAUACUGACGCUGAGGAGCGAAAGCGUGGGGAGCAAACAGG